UGGGGAAUAUUGCGCAAUGGGGAAACCCUGACGCAGCGACGCCGUGUGAGGGAAGAAGGCCUUCGGGUCGUAAACCUCUGUCGGGAGGGAAGAACCGCCGGUUUCCGAACAGGGAGCCGGCCUGACGGUACCUCCGAAGGAAGCGCCGGCUAACUCCGUGCCAGCAGCCGCGGUAAUACGGAGGGCGCGAGCGUUAAUCGGAAUCACUGGGCGUAAAGCGCGCGUAGGCGGCCAGAUAAGUCGGGCGUGAAAGCCCUCGGCUCAACCGAGGAAUUGGGUUCGAGACUGUUUGGCUGGAGUCGUGGAGAGGGUGGCGGAAGUCCGGGUGUAGGAGUGAAAUCCGUAGAUAUCCGGAGGAACACCGGUGGCGAAGGCGGCCACCUGGACAGGUACUGACGCUGAGGUGCGAAAGCGUGGGGAG
rnacentral:rRNA from 1 species